ensembl:lncRNA
CACACACACAAAAAAAUCCAAUGUGGCCGUGGGGUGGCGCCCUUGCCAGUGGGGUGGGGAUGGGGGCACAGAUCUGCACCCAAGGAGAAGGUCCGCUGAGGCUGAGGCAGGAGACACCCUGGAGAGGCCCAGCAGGCAGACCCAGGUGCUCAGCCCGGAGCGGUUCCCUAGCCAGAGCCGCAGACGCCCGACCCGGAGGCGGCAGAGCCCUAAGCACCUGGAAAGCUGUCACCAGACCGUCACCGGGGGAGACAGCACGGUCCUGCAACACGACCUCGGGUCCCGGGAUACGACUCAGAGUGGGGCAGGAUUUUUCCAAGCAAGGAACUGCAAGGCCCCUGCCCGCUCCCGAAACAGCGGUGAAGGGUGAGGGGGACCCUGAAAGGCUGCACGCCCGCGGGACGCAGAGCGGCCUCGUCCUGAGCGGGCCCGGAGCUCGAGGCCAGCACGCGCGGGCGCAGCCUGGCGCUCUGGGCCCCGCGCGGAAACCGAAGAGGAAAAGAAAAAGUUGUGCAAAUGUCCUGCAUGUGAAUCUACACAGAAAGCCAGAGAGCACUGGACGAGGGAGCCCCCCGGGAGACCCGGCGCGCCCCGUACCCUCUGUGCGUGGGGUUGGCUUGCCCGUAACGUACUUCGAGCUGUCGGAAAGCGAGGCCGCGGACGUGACUUCCGGCUUCCAGGCCGGCCCGCGCGGAAUCGGGGACGCGAGCGAGCACCGCGGGAAGGCUGGCCGCCGAACUGCGCAGGCGCAGGGGGCCCGGCUGCACCUCCGCGGAGCCGCCACGCGGGGGCAGCCGUGAGCCACGGGAGGCCCGAGCGCCCCGAGAACCGGGCCGGUACAGGCCGGCUGCGAGCGCCGAAGGCAGCGGAGAGGACGACUCGCGCGUCUCCAGCUGGACGUGGCGAACUCUGGCUCGCAAAAGCUAACUUUCGCCCUAAAUGGGUGAUUUUUCCCUAAAAGGGACAAAGCCCACGCCCUGGUUCCACUGGGGCUCGAACCCAGGACCUUCUGCGUGUAAAGCAGACGUGAUAACCGCUACACUAUGGAACCGCGCGCGGAAAGUGGACCGGAAUCUGGUCAUUUAACGGGCGCCCGGUGACGCCCUGCGCGGGUCGGACGCGGGGUGCAAUCGCAGGCGGACGCCUCGGGCAGAGCACCCGGCUGCACCUCCAUAUCCCGGGACAAAACCCAGCACCCCUAGCUCGCAAAAGGAGCCCCGAGCACCCUCAAAAUACCAGCGGGGCCGCCCGUGGUUCCACUGGGGCUCGAACCCAGGACCUUCUGCGUGUAAAGCAGACGUGAUAACCGCUACACUAUGGAACCGCGCGGUGGCCGGCCGCCUCCGGGCGUAAUAACCCCGCGCGCAGCCCUCGGCCUGCGCCCGCCGGGACCGAGCCGCCCGUGCCCGGCUUCCCCCGCCGCUGCCGCUCAUGCUCCUGCUCCUCGCCCGCCCGGCGCGGCUCCCGGGGCGAGAACGCGCGCCCGCCACGGAGCUGUAGGCGGCUCGGGGCAACCUCCAAGCAUCUGGCUCUGUGGCGCAAUGGAUAGCGCAUUGGACUUCUAGACAAACAAAGACAUUCAAAGGUUGUGGGUUCGAGUCCCACCAGAGUCGCUUUUGUUUUGAUGAAGUCGGAUAAAGAAAAUUAAAGUGACAGAAGCCUUUAAUCCGCACUCGGCCGCGCCCUGGUUGGGGACAAAGGCGGUCGCUCCGGCGCGUCGGGCCCCCUCCCGAGGCUCCUCCAUCGCUUUCCCGGGGCUCCGGUUUCUGGGUACUGAACCCAGAGAUCCACGAGAUGCGAUCGAGGAGACGCGGGCUGAGCGUGGCUUUGCUCGUUCUGUUUCCAUGCAACGCUCGCGAUCCGAAUCCAUCCCGAGCUGUUCGGAAACUUCAGUCCGUGUUGCCCGAGUCGCCCGGAAGGAAAACGCCAUCCGGCAGGGUGCCGGGGUGGCCGAAUGGUUAGAGCGUCGGACUUAGGGCUCCGUGGUCUCUGGGGUGCGCGGGUUCGAACCCCACUUCUGGCGGCUCUGUGUUCGCCCUUCGGCGUUCCCUGUUGGGACUUUAGGUGCGCAGACGCCGGGAUCUGGGUCUGAAUCUGAACCCCAGACAGUUCCUUUUCGCCAGAGCAGAGAAUGCGGGACGACUUGAGAAUCCACGGCUGGGAAGGAGCGAAGGCAGCGUCCACCGAAAGCAGACCCGAUCCUCUCCACCGAUGUUGCUGCGCCGCCGCGCAAAGGCCCGAGGGGCGGGAGGAGGAGCCGGCCGGCCUGCGGGCGGACGCGCGGGAGGACUGAGGAGGGGCCGGCGCUGCGAGAGGCUUCGGGUGGCCCCGCGGGCGGCGCGGAGGAACCAAGGCGGCGCCGGGACCACCGGGCUCGGUCCUCAGCCUCGAGUCACCUGGAACAGAGGAGAUGGCAUGGCACAGCACCUGGGGCCUCUCGCCCUCAGAAUUGCGUGGAUGGGAAUUCGGUGUGCAGCGCUGGAAAACUGGCACCGGAGUACAUCUUACCCUGGGCUAGGUACGUGGAUCUAAUCGUCCACUGGUCACUUGUCUACUUGUGCAUGAUGUGGGCGAGACAGUUUGUUCUUACUCAUAUUAGAGAUAGAACGGCAUAGUAACUGUGAGGGAGGCCCAGAACACACAUGCACACACACACCAGUCGGCUGAGUGAUUUUACUCUGCCCUUUCUCUGUCUUCUAGUCUCAGUGUUCACACAAAUGGAGCUACUGCAUAUAAAACCC